rnacentral:tRNA from 1 species
GUCCAGGGAUGGGAAUCGAACCUACAAUGUUCCGCUUACCGGAGAGAUGCCAUAUCCACUAGGCUACCCUGGA